AAUGUUGUGGGGAUAUGAUUUAUCUGUGAUGAACGUACAAUUAUAUUUUUUAUUUUUAGGGCUGUAGGCAAAAAAAAAAACAUUUUGAAGGGGAGUGUUGAUUUUCUAUCCCCACUGUAUUUACACAGAUUUAAACAUCAUGUGUUUUUUCCGUGAGAUGUCCAAGUGCAGCCUGACAGUGCUGUCCGACUUGCUAACAGAAAGUGUGCCAUGGAGCUCUGUUUGUACCCAUUCCUACACUAUAUUAGGUAACAGAACGUGGAUACGAGCCACCUCAUAGUAAUGGUGGAUGGUGAGGUGUGCCGGGUCCCUGCUACAGAAGGAAUAGUCAAGAGCAAACUGAAACCAGAGGGGUUCAGUCACCUGAACAGGACAGCAGGUCAAAAGAAUCUAUUUAUAGUGAGUUUGUGGCAGGUGAGGAUAAGCAAAGCAUGAUGUCGGUUUUUUCUUUUCCCCCACAGAUAAUGGACCCAUGCAAACUCUUCCGUUGAAUAACAGAGGAAGUGAUACAAAGGGGGCGGAGCAAAAGAAACCAAGUAUGAUGAGGAGGGUCAGGUGGUCGCUCUGCGCGGAAUCUCACAUUCAAAGGGCAUCGCGAGGGCUGACACGCAAUCCCAACCCCGCCCACCGGCUGCUGAAACUCUUACAAAAUUCUAUGCGUGUUCAUUGAAAUGUCUAAAUACUAUGAAUCUCGGCGCUUCCUCGAAAGAGGAACUCCAGUCCUGCGUUGUCGUAAUAUGAGAAAAGCUAUAUGCCAAUGCUAAUAGCUACAGUCAAGACUAAAAGCAAAGCCAAUUAUUUUGGGGUCAGAAAAAAUAUCAGACAGUCAGAAGCAUCUAAAAAAGCACAGGAGGGGCCAUUGUUCUAGGGGGCAUUAACCACACACUGGGGUACCAGGGCCUGACGGAGCGUCAGUAACCUACCAAGCUCGACCAAUAAGGUGUUUGUUUUUUUUUGCUGUGUUUUUCUGAAAAGCAGAGAACAAAUAAAGCUUGACCAGACUCAUUUUUCCUCCCUGUCUUAACUCACAGUGCCCCUGAAGUGCUAUAACCCCCCCCCCGGUCCUAUAUCACCACCAUUCAACCCAGCCGCCUCUAAGGGACACAGGCGAAAUACUGUCACAUCUCGGAGAGGAAUGGCGGAAUCCACGCUCCACUGAGCACUCCUACUGCUGUCAGCAACCGCCGGGCCCAUUUGUUCCUCUCGUUCACUUCUGUUAGGGGAGGUUCUGUCACAGUUCCUGCUGGCCGGUUAUUUCCCACCCCUCCCUGAUCCAGAGGAAUGCUUCUCUAUCACCUUGCGAGGGAUCGUCACCAUGAAGAAUGACCUACGCCAGGCUGUGGUCCCCGAUGGAGGUCGCAGGCCAGAUGCUAAACUGCCCAGCGCUGCUCAGCCCCGAUGCCCUACAAAUUCCAGGCUUGUGAGCCACCAGUCGCCAUGUCGAUGCCCCUGGACCGUCAAUGUCCAAAAAAGGCAAUAUACACAUUGUCACCUUAUCAGUCACAAUUCUGCAGUUCCUGAUGCGGAUCUCACAAAUACGCCAUUCUGAAUAAAGCGAGCACCGACCGACAAUCACUCUGAAAACAUCAUUCCGUAACAAAUUAUCGUAAAUUAAAAAAAAAACAAAGCGUACAGUGACGAGCAUUAGUAUAUGACCCCUAAGAAAUUAUCUGGAUUUCUGCAAGAAUGCAUCCCAAAAUGUGACCAUCAUGUAACUCAUAAUAGAAUAUAUUAUUUUGCAAACACACACAACAUCUCCCGAACACACUUUAAUCAAUCACAGAAAAAAACAGAACUGUAUAUGUAGUACUAUAUCAUAAACUUUUUCUUCCUGUUUAUAACAAGGAAACGCCCUUUUAGCAAAAAUUACCUACUCAAAUGAGCGCACCGAUGAACAAUACUUCUAUUCAGGAGAAAUAGCAGAAGCAUCUGAAAGAGACAAAGGUAACCAUGAAGGGCCUAUUCCCGGCCGUGGUUUAAAUGUGCAUCAGUGCUGAAACCCAGGAUAGGCUCCGCCGGUAGUCAUGAGCUGUGUUAAACCUGCACCUAUCCUAUAACUGCUUGUUAAACAAGAAUGCGGGACCAGACCCAAUUAAAUGUAUCAAAUUUGCUGCCCUGUGUACAAUAAAACUUUUUUUUUUUUAAAUCCAAGAAAACGACAACCCUGAAGUGGGUGACCGCCAUCCAUCUGUCCGAGAUUCGCUCGAGGCACGUCGUACGCUGUGUGGUCGGAAACGGUAUGAAUGCUGAUUGUGCUAAUAGUGCAUUUUCGAUGCGCGUUGAGCAUGAAAACUCCAUUAUUACCCAUCAUAAAGGCGGCUGAGAUUUCUUGCAGAAAUACAGUUGCAACACUGCAUUAAGUUUUUUUUAAGGCUCUGCGAAGCAUUACAUCACCAUUCUGCUGCACGGAAACACAGUCAAGAUGCGACAGUGGAGGUCUUGCAUCUGAUGCUGUAAGCCUGACAAUUGCUAUGGUAUUCUUCAUCACCCCAUGACAGUGGGCCUUUCUUUUUGUCAUAUAGAUUGGGAGAAGGCUCUCAGAGUCGAGACCAAUGAACAAAGGAAGGAGGUGUAACGGUUCUGUAAUGUCAUAUAGGAGACCCUGAAUAUUUCCAACGUGUAAAGCCAAGACAGGAGUUGCGAAUGGCUGCUAGGGUGGCAGCAGCUGUACGUGACUGGGGUUUGUGGUAGAAACCAGAAGCCAGUGAACGGGGGAGGGGCAUUUUUUGAUCACAUGACCUCCUGGGAUUCAUGAAGUCUGCAAGUUCAUUUUAUUCGUCUUAUUUGCUUUUAAUUUAAAAUGAGUUUCUUUAAGGGGCUGGCAUAUAAGUGACUGUGAUUUUAGCUUUAGCUCAUGGCUCUACAUUGAUUUCUUUGAACAUUUUUAGGAGAAGCGGCUUGAGACACGCUAAGGUGGAACAUUUAUUACAGAAGAAAGUCUCUUCCCCACAAAGACAGAUAUACAAGGAAAGAGGAUGUGGGAAAAAGUGCCACAUAGACUAAAAUGAACCACAAAAGAGGAUCCCCUUCCUUUCCCGACAACUACGGAGAGAAGACAUCUGGAGAGGAAAGGGCAACCCUGUGGUUCAACAGCAGGGACCUCGAACACAAAGUAAGACUGGGGGUGUUCAGGGGGAUCCCAGGGGUCCGGCCUGUUCUCAGCGCGGCGGCCUUGGCGCAUGUUUCCAAAGAGGGAAAAAAGACGUGGAAACAGCCAGAGAGUCUAUGAGGAAUGCAUCUUUGGACUCACACCAUGAAAGGUUCUCAAGGCGUAACCACAGAGGAUACUCAGCUGCAUGUGGGACCAAGUUGGACGAUUCUUGAAUCUAACUGAGCCGAAGCGAGAGAGGAACGCCGAGAGUGCAGUAAAAGCAGGACGGCGGCCCAGAACCGCUUGGCUGGCAGAAUGAGCCGCGGAGUCUCACACCUUAGAAUCAUGACCAUCUGGAUGGUCAGUCACAGUCUGCCAGUGACUCAGUAGAGGCAGAGAGAGACUGUCACUCCACAUUGAGCGGGCAAGUCAAAUAGUAAACAUCUCAUCAUGUGAGUCACAUGACACAGUGUGCAUUUCUGUUUAAGGGCAGGAGAACAUCAUGUGGCCGGAGGGAAUGUUGAUGCAGAAAUUAGUUCUUGAAGAGUAACAAGUUACACUGUGGGCUCGCAUUUCCAUUGUGGGUUUUUUCUCGAUCCUUUUGGUUUCCUCCCUGAAACUAAAAAAAAAAACAUCUUGCUGAGAUGGACUGGCUCCCCAAAAACUGGGUGUGUGCUCCAUGAUGGACUGAUAUUCAAUCCAUAGUCACGUCCAGUGUUUCCAUGGACAGACUCCAGGUGUACUGUGACCCUGCAUCCGGACAGCUAGUUAUGGACAAUUCAUAGAAUAAAAUGACAAAAACAGUAUUUUUAUUGGCAGAAAAGUCCCCGGAUUAGCCAAAGUCAGUCGUGUGGUAAACAUGGAAUGGCUUCAAAAUUACAGCCCUGAAGUAAGACAUGGCCGGUAAAUCACAGAUCAUUAUUUAUUGACUUGAAGUGACCUUCCCUUGACUUUUUCUUUGAUCUACUCGUGUUUGAAAUAGUGCAACCUGGUUGUGGUGAUGUUUUUUUUUUUUCUGGCUGAUCUGGAGGAAAAACAACUGAAUUACAGUUACCAAAUUACUGCAGUAAAACCUGUUUUGCUACUAUAAUCACGGUCUAAAUUAUGCAGCUGAAGGCCACAACCUUACCAAGCUCUGACAUAUUGUGGUGCCAGGGACCAUUCUUUCUGUUCGGCCUGCCUGGAUGUAAGACCGGCCUGAGAGUCAGAUGAGGUUACUCACAGACAGCCAGGAAUGGUCUGCUCCAUCUCCUGUGGGCCGUGGAGACUCACGGUAACAGAUGGCUCUCGACGGCCGCUGGGCUGGGCCUCAGUACCGACUGGAAAAGUUGAUUUCUAGGCAAUAUAUAUAUAUAUAUAUAUAUAUAUAUAUAAAUAUAUUUUAUUUUUUUUAUUUUUUUCUUUUGGACUAGUGUGUUUGCCAAGAUCAUUUUGCCGACUGGAAAUUGAACGAAGACAUGAACGCCACUUCGGAAAGUUGAAAUAUAGCUCCGCCAGUUCAUGCGACACUCCCCAAAAACAUCUCAUCUGCCCUGUCAGGCAGCCUAACCGUGGAGACGGCAUCCUUCCCACUGGCUACUCUUGCGCGUGAAAUGUCGUAAAUCCUGGCUAAUCUGGAGUCAAACUUUGUCGCUUAAUGAUAGUUAAGUACUUCGGCUUUCACUCUUCCGAAACCAACAGGGACAUGCUGCCUCACCACAAAGGGGGCUUGUUUAUGCGUAAACAACAUUGGUUAUUUUCAUUUUCCCCUCACAAAUAUAUAAUACAAAGAUACGGAACAUUUAAGGUAAAAUGGCAUUAAAUGUACCGUGGUGAUAUUAACCCUCUUUUAUUGUCUGAUUGCAAAGCCAAAUCAUCACUUUCACAUUUUACCAAAACAUUAUACAGUAUACAUUUUCUAUUUAACGGUUUAGCCUAUCUUUUAGCCUUGAAUAUAUCUCAUUUUUAAGGGUCCAUUACAUCUUAUGUAAUACUUAUUAAAAGUACAGCAAUGUUAAGGAAGUUAAAGACAAAAAUUAAGCUAAUGUAAAAAUAAAAAUAGAUAGCUGCUUUACAUUUGAGUAAGACAGAAAUAUACUUGACAAAACUAUAACGUCUCUCCAACGGAUGCCACGGUAACCCACAGUAGGUGAAGCAAAUAAGGUUUUAACACUAACUAAAUAAAUUACAGGGCCUGAGGAAUUCAUAAUUACUGCAUGUCCAUCGAAAGCACUUUGCGUUGUACUCAGCUGUUUGGUAUUAGUAGGUGUUACUAUCUUAACCCCAGGGAAUUCUGGGAAAUACCAGAUCUUUUCCAGUUCUCCUUGCAAAGCCUCUCCCUGGCAUUUUCAAACACAAGCAAACAACCUACUGGUCAUGAUUCACAACAGUGACCUAGCUGCUGUUCAUGAGGAUCAGAAAUUCCAUUUUCAUGUUGGGAUACUUUCUUACAAAAACCAUCCCACUGGUUUCAAGGUGUCUGAUUGCGGAAAAACGGCAUACAGAUUACCCGUCGUCAUGAGUGAAAUUUCCACGCUUGUGAACACUUACGGAAUGCUGUCACUCUUUUCUACGGCGCACGCCAAUUGCCACACACAUAAACACUAACUUAAAAUAAAACUACAGCAAGCUGCAGGGGACAUAAAGCAUGUCUUUCAAAGUGUGAAAGCCAGUGUGGAACAAUUUUCUCAAACACACUAUUUUCAGAUAUUAAAAGUAAAAUGUGCUUAUUAUCUAAAUAUGAAGUGUCUGCCUCUUUUUCUUUCUCUAUUAUUAAAUAAGACAUUAACCCAGGGCUUGCAGGCUGGUGGGUAAUACAAUCUUCUCAGCUAAAACUAAAUAAUU